UGGGAGUCCUGAAAGGUUAAAUACCACCAGCAAGGGCAGCGAGAGAUGAAACCGCCCCUCGGACUGCCCGCGUGGCUCAUAGAAAACCAUAAUUUAUAUUUUUAAAGCGUAUUUGAGGUUUUCCUGAUCUCCCUUUUGUCACGCAGCCCCACCCUCCCUUUCCGCCCGGGGGGGGGGGCAGAGGCGCUCGCCGCGGAGCUGCCAGGACCUGCGCGCUCCCGUCGUCCCCCGCGCCAAGAUGUCGGCGGCGAUCGCCGCGCUCGCCUCCUACGGCGGUUCCGACUCGGAGCCGGACUCGGAGCCUGAGGCCGAGGCGGGCCCGGGCCGCGCCGCCGCCGCCGCCGCCGUCCUGGCCAGCCGCGACGCGGUGCUGCACCUCCGCGCGCCCCCCGCCACCCCGCCCGCCCUUCCCGUCGACUCGGCCCCGGAAGUGGCCGUGAAGGUGCAUGGAAUUCUUCAUUUUGUCGUCCUCAGCUAAUACAUAUACUAUCACAGAUGAUCAUAUUUGCCUGUGCAUGUUAUUGCACUUAUUAUAUGUGCAUUUUGUUAUCCCUUGAGGUCUAGAGGUGUGUAACUUCUUGAUUUGCAGCCUCUGGCAGACUGUCUUGUACAAACUUUGAAAGGAACGGUAAUUAAUACCUGUAAUGUUUUUUGAAUGUGAAUGAUAAGUGUUGUCUGUGCUCUUUGCUCUUCUAAGGCUGUGGCAACAGGUUUCCCCUUUGCCAUGCCGGCACAAAUGUUUAUACAGUUACUUGGUGAAUGACAUCAGGAAAUUGAUGUGGAUGAAAAAAAAAUCUUUUCAGUUAUUUUUCCUUUGGAUCAGUUCCUCAACCUGGUUCACAAUGUAUCUGCACCAAUGCACAGUUAAGUGCCCGUUGCAGCAGUGUGAACAAGAAGCUGGGGGAGUUAGUUGUGUCAAUAGUACAUCCCGUUCAAAGUUGUUCACCCAACUGUGCUCUGAAAGGGGAUGUCCACCAACACCUCUAGGACAGUCUCUGUGGCAGGCAUUCUGCUAACUGAAAUGUUUUAUUAAAAUCUUGUCUUUCAUUUUUGUUUGAAAUCAUAGAUGAGAUGCAUAUAACUAAAAAGAUCGAUGACUUCAAGCUAAGGCUUACUAAAUGUACAGUGUACUGGAGCUUCUUCUAGCAGCACAGUCUCCUUUGAGGAGAAACAGAUCGUUUCUCAGAAAAGCCUUUUUUCCGGACUUGUGCUGUUCAAGAAAGGAUUACUGGUCUCAAGCUGAUGGACAACAUGACCUCAACGCCUCCCAUGUCUAAAAAUGAGAGUGUCCCACCAAAAAGCAUGGAAACUUGUUGGUCAUUCCCUUAGGAAUUUUCCUAAUUCUUCAGAAUUAGAAUUUAGCCCUAACUGAACAAACGUAAAAGAAAUGAUGCUUAAGGAAUUCUCUCAGUGCUGCAUUGGAAAAACAGCAAGUUGAGUGAGGAGGAAAGCAGAGUUACAGUUCAUUAGUAUCACUU
rnacentral:lncRNA from 1 species